rnacentral:rRNA from 1 species
GAUGAACGCUGGCGGCGUGCCUAAUACAUGCAAGUCGAGCGAACAGACGAGGAGCUUGCUCCUCUGACGUUAGCGGCGGACGGGUGAGUAACACGUGGAUAACCUACCUAUAAGACUGGGAUAACUUCGGGAAACCGGAGCUAAUACCGGAUAAUAUAUUGAACCGCAUGGUUCAAUAGUGAAAGACGGUUUUGCUGUCACUUAUAGAUGGAUCCGCGCCGCAUUAGCUAGUUGGUAAGGUAACGGCUUACCAAGGCGACGAUGCGUAGCCGACCUGAGAGGGUGAUCGGCCACACUGGAACUGAGACACGGUCAAGACUCCUACGGGAGGCAGCAGUAGGGAAUCUUCAGCAAUGGGCGAAAGCCUGACGGAGCAACGCCGCGUGAGUGAUGAAGGUCUUCGGAUCGUAAAACUCUGUUAUUAGGGAAGAACAAAUGUGUAAGUAACUAUGCACGUCUUGACGGUACCUAAUCAGAAAGCCACGGCUAACUACGUG